ensembl:snRNA U6 U6 spliceosomal RNA
AUGCUUGCUUCAGCAGCACAUGUACUAAAAUUGGAAUGAUACAGGGAAGAUUAGCAUGGCCCCUGUACAAGGAUGACACACUAAUUAUUGACAAUCCCUAUUACA